UACGUAGGGGGGCUAGCGUUGUCCGGAUUUAUUGGGCGUAAAGAGCGUGUAGGCGGCCAGGUAGGUCUGGUGUGAAAACUCGAGGCUUAACCUCGAGAUGUCAUCGGAAACCAUCUGGCUAGAGUCCGGAAGAGGAGAGUGGAAUUCCUGGUGUAGCGGUGAAAAUGCGUAGAUAUCUGGAGGAACACCGGUGGCGAAGGCGGCAUCCUGGACCGGUAUUGACGCUGAGGCGCGAAAGCCAGGGGAGCAAACGGG
rnacentral:rRNA from 1 species